GUCCAUGUCCAUGCCACCUUGCACAAGCCCGAUCCCAUCUGAUCUCGGAAGCUAAGCAGAGUCGGGCCUGAUUAGUACUUGGAUGGGAGACCAUCUAGGAAGACCAGGUGCUGUAGGUG
rnacentral:rRNA from 1 species